UACGUAGGGGGCAAGCGUUGUCCGGAUUUAUUGGGCGUAAAGCGCUCGCAGGUGAUUCGUUGCGUCGUGCGUGAAAGACCCCGGCUCAACUGGGGAGGGUCGUGCGAUACGGGCGGACUGGAGGCCAGUAGGGGGAUGCGGAAUUCCGGGUGUAGUGGUGGAAUGCGUAGAGAUCCGGAGGAACACCAGCGGCGAAGGCGGCAUCCUGGACUGGUCCUGACACUCAGGAGCGAAAGCGUGGGGAGCGAUCCGG
rnacentral:rRNA from 1 species